AUUGAAAACAAUAAUAUAUUAGCCUAUUGAAAUACCUAGUUAAAUAGAGAUUUUUUUUUAAAUUACAACACCAGGUCUUGGACAGUAGUUGACCGUCGCAGCCGUCACCUAUGACCGCUGUUGGCCACUAUUGAACGUUAUUUUUUAUCUCGUUAAAUACAUAAUAAUGAUCAUAUAUGGAUGAUUUACUCAUUGGAAGUGUUAAUUUGACAGCAAAUACAGUAUAUGGUCGGAAAUAUGAAAGUUAAAAUUUUUCCAAACAUUAAAAUAAGAUUUGAGGUAAAUAACAAUGUGUAUUAGCAUUUCUAACUCCAGAGAGUUGUAGAUCGGCUCAUAAGGAUUCCAUUAGUAUCAGUUUGAAAGGUGAAGCGCUUCUCUGGCGAAAAGCCCACGAGUCUCCGAUGACUGUCCAGCAAUUCACUUUACUACUUUUUCGUUUUUCAAAUAAGUUCAUCAUAUUAAUUUAAGAAACUAAAUGUAAAUUAUUUGCACUUUAACUUAUUUAAAAUUAAUUUUAUUUAGAGGAUAGUAUUAGAAUUUUUAUAUUCCAAUAGAUGAGGAAUUUGAAAUCAUUAUCCAUUGAUAAGUAAUGCAAAUUACUCAAUCUGAUAGAAAUUGAAUUUCAAUUAAAUUUGGUUCAACCAAACAGGGGAAAGUGGAAAAGAAAUCAAAUUCUUUUCCUCUCCCCACUCCUCUACGCUUAAGCAAACAUGGCCUUAAAAGAAUAUUUUUAGGAUACAGUAUUUACUUCACAUUUAAAUAAAAGUAAUAAAAAUUCACUUUUCUUAUUCAUAAGUAUUUGUCAAAAAAUCAAAUGUAAGUUACAAAAAUAAACAAACAAAUUUAAAAAAAUAUUUUAAACUACUAAAAUUUUAGAUUUAAGAUAUUUAACAAACAUAUCCUAAGAUUUAUAUCUUUUUAUAAAAGUUCUAUAUCAUACUAUCUUCAUGGUACAAUUAAUGACUGUAACCCUUAAUCCUUUCGUUUGUUAAUCCUUCCAAGGAACAUAUUAAAUGCUUUCACUUUCAAGGAAAAAAAGAAAGAAAGAAAAAUACUCCAUCAAAAUUAUUAAUGUUAGAAUUGAUAUUUUGCAUUCCAUUAAAUUAUAUUAAAAACCUAAAAACCAAUAGACAUUGAAUAAACAAUAAUCUAAACUAAAAAAAUUUCUUACUUUUUUCUCUAUAAAGAAAAUUCUUCUUUUUGAAAUCCAUUGCUAUCAUCUUAUGAUUAUUAUACUCAUUCCAGUUAGUCAACUUUCCAAGUGCUAUCAUUAUAAUUAUUUUAUUUUAAAUUAUUAUUGUUCUUAUUUUUUUUAAAAUUUUAAUUUAUAUUUUACAUUGACAUAUGACAAAAAAAAAGAAUAAAUUUUGAGCUAUUUUAUAUUUCUUUUAGAGUUGAUGUUGUUGAAUAUAUGAAGGCCUAAAAAAAAAAGGUUCGCUUAAAGCCUAAGUGAAUUAAUAAAUAUUUUUUUGCCUUCCUAACACAAAUAAGAGAAAAAUUGAGGUUUUCAAUAAUUUUAACAUAUUUUGAAUAUUAUCAUUUGAUGAGAAGAGUAAUUCGAAAUUAAUCUUCAAUAAAAAAAAAAAUCAAUCGCUCUAAUUUUUGCAGGCAAUACAAUGGCCCCGUUUAGACCUAUAUUUGGGGAAAAAAUUUCACGUCCUUUAUAGGCGUGGGGCAGGUGCGCUGGCGACAAACGGGCUACAAGCAAUGGGGUCCUCUUGGCGACGUGGUCAUAACAAAGCUGAAACAGACGUUGAUUCACUGACAGCAAAGAUGUGACAUGCACAUACUUACGUAGGGAUGGCAAAAUCUGGGUUUGGAUCCGGGUUUAGUCUUUCCGGAUCCGGACCCGGAUACCAUUUUUUUUCAGGAUCCGGAUUUUAAUCUGGAUUUUUUUACCUGGGUCCGGGUCCGGGUUCAACCCAAAAAAAUCUGAAUUUUGAACCCGGAUCAAUGAAUCAAUAUUAAUUUCUAAAAUUCUAAAAAUAAAAAAUUAAUACAUUUCUAAACAAUAACACAUUUAGAUUAAUCAAUAA
rnacentral:lncRNA from 1 species